rnacentral:lncRNA from 1 species
GGUUGUACAGCCUCUAUCUACUGAUGUCCCUGAUCAGACUGGUGGGUUGUACAGCCUCUAUCUACUGAUGACCAUGUCCCUGAUCAGACUGGUGGGUUGUACAGCCUCUAUCUACUGAUGUCCCUGAUCAGACUGGUGGGGUGUACAGCCUCUAUCUACUGAUGACCAUGUCCCUGAUCAGACUGGUGGGGUGUACAGCCUCUAUCUACUGAUGACCAUGUCCCUGAUCAGACUGGUGGGGUGUACAGCCUCUAUCUACUGAUGACCAUGUCCCUGAUCAGACUGGUGGGUUGUACAGCCUCUAUCUACUGAUGACCCUGAUCAGACUGGUGUGGUGUACAGCCUCUAUCUACUGAUGACCAUGUCCCUGAUCAGACUGGUGUGUUGUACAGCCUCUAUCUACUGAUGACCAUGUCCCUGAUCAGACUGGUGUGGUGUACAGCCUCUAUCUACUGAUGUCCCUGAUCAGACUGGUGGGGUGUACAGCCUCUAUCUACUGAUGACCAUGUCCCUGAUCAGACUGGUGUGGUGUACAGCCUCUAUCUACUGAUGACCAUGUCCCUGAUCAGACUGGUGGGUUGUACAGCCUCUAUCUACUGAUGACCAUGUCCCUGAUCAGACUGGUGGGUUGUACAGCCUCUAUCUACUGAUGUCCCUGAUCAGACUGGUGGGUUGUACAGCCUCUAUCUACUGAUGACCAUGUCCCUGAUCAGACUGGUGGGUUGUACAGCCUCUAUCUACUGAUGACCAUGUCCCUGAUCAGACUGGUGGGGUGUACAGCCUCUAUCUACUGAUGUCCCUGAUCAGACUGGUGUGGUGUACAGCCUCUAUCUACUGAUGACCAUGUCCCUGAUCAGACUGGUGUGGUGUACAGCCUCUAUCUACUGAUGACCAUGUCCCUGAUCAGACUGGUGGGUUGUACAGCCUCUAUCUACUGAUGACCCUGAUCAGACUGGUGUGGUGUACAGCCUCUAUCUACUGAUGACCAUGUCCCUGAUCAGACUGGUGUGGUGUACAGCCUCUA